rnacentral:misc_RNA from 1 species
CACGAACCGUACAAACGUUAUUCGGAAUUAUUGGGCUUAAAGGGUGCGUAGGCGGCGUUGUAGGUGGGGUGUGAAAUCCCUCGGCUCAACCGAGGAAUUGCGCCCCAAACCAAAAUGCUCGAGGGAGACAGAGGUAAGCGGAACUGAUGGUGGAGCGGUGAAAUGCGUUGAUAUCAUCAGGAACACCGGUGGCGAAAGCGGCUUUCUGGGUCUCUUCUGAUGCUGAGGGACGAAAGCUAGGGGAGCGAACGGG